UUUCCUCUUAGCUAAAGUCGCAUUUUGGAGUGUGGAGGAGGUGUUUUUAAUGUGAAAGGGCAUAAGUAGAAUGAGAAUUUGUAGCAGUCUACAAAUUGAAUUUGAACGCUCCGGAAAUGGAGGAGUUGUAAACACCCAAAUCAGCAUUUAUUGCUAGAAGACUUCUUUAUAUUUGUAUUCAAUUCUCCUUGUAGCAGUGGAGAAACCUUGGACUCCCUCAAUGCAAUGUAUUGAGGUGGGUCUGGUCAAAACCUCUGAUUCACCCCGUUCUCUGUCAUCUUCAGGCUUCUACAUUCUCUUCAUACAGGAUAUCCAAAUGUUCUGUUUCUGAAACACCUAAAUUGCCGGAAUCUGACAAUACCCAAUUCUUGUUUUUUUUUUGAAUUUGAACGCAUUCAAUUGAUAAUUCAUGAUUUUAAAGCACCAUCUCUGUCCAGCUUCAAAACACCACCUAAUUCGUAUCCUCAAUUGGAAACGUGACAUCUGUGAUUGAUCAUCAUUUGUAAGACCCACUUGGUCUUUUUUCUGUAGAUUGAACAAUAAUGGAAAAGCUAUCUGCAUCUCCUUUCCGGGGAAUCAUAAAAGACAUCAAAGGAAGGUUGCCCUGUUACAGACAAGAUUGGCUCAAUGGACUUAAUGCAGGGUUCAGAAUUUUCGCUCCAACCACCUAUAUUUUCUUUGCCUCUGCUCUUCCUGUUAUAGCAUUUGGUGAACAACUUGAUAAAGCCACUGAUGGCACCUUAACUGCUGUUCAGACAUUGAUUUCUACCAGCUUAUGUGGAAUUAUACAUUCUUUGAUUGGUGGACAACCCCUGUUGAUUCUUGGCGUUGCAGAACCCACAGUUCUUAUGUAUACAUAUAUGUAUAAUUUUGCAAAAGAUAGGGAUGAUUUGGGACAGAGAUUGUUCCUUGCAUGGGCAGGAUGGGUUUGUAUGUGGACGGCACUGCUGCUAUUUGUUCUUGCAAUUUUCAAUGCCUGCACGAUCAUCAAUAGGUUUACAAGAGUAGCCGGAGAGCUCUUUGGCAUGUUAAUUGCUGUAUUAUUCCUGCAAGAAGCUAUCAAGGGUAUGGUAGAAGAAUUCCGUAUACCCGAAAAUGUUAAUCCCAAUCUUGAGCAAUUCAAAUUUCCAUGGCGUUUCGCAAAUGGCCUGUUUGGGAUUGUUUUGUCUUUUGGCCUAUUGCUCACAUCAUUAAAAAGCAGAAGAGCUCGAUCAUUCAGAUAUGGGACAGGGUUGUUGAGAAGUUUCUUAGCAGAUUAUGGAGUGCCCGUGAUGAUUGUUUUGUGGACAGCAAUCUCAUUCAGUGCAAAUGAUAGUGUGCCUGUUGGUAUUCCUAGAAGGCUUAAUAGCCCAAAUCCCUGGACUGCUGGAGCUUCAUCCAAUUGGAGUGUGAUUAAGGAUAUGCAUAAGGUUCCACCACAAUAUAUUUUAGCUGCAUUUAUCCCUGCUAUUAUGAUUGCAGGGCUUUACUUCUUUGAUCACAGUGUAGCAGCUCAACUGGCUCAACAGAAAGAGUUCAAUUUGAGAAAUCCAUCAGCUUACCACUAUGAUUUACUUCUAUUGGGCAUCAUGGUCUUAAUGUGUGGAUUGGUUGGAAUUCCUCCAUCAAAUGGUGUAUUGCCACAAUCUCCAAUGCAUACAAAGAGCCUUGCUACUCUGAAAAGACAGAUAGUGCGCAAAAAGUUGGUAGCAAGUGCCAAGAAAAGCAUUGAGCAACAAGCUACUUUGACAGAGAUUUAUGGCAAGAUGCAACAAGUGUUUCAACAAAUAGAAAUGAACAAUAUCCAGCCACUGACAAGCUCAUCAUUGAAAGACUUGAAAGAGCUCAAACAUUUGGACACUGAAAUGAAUGGGCAUGCUUUUGAUCCUGAAAAGCAUGUUGAUGAAUUGCUUCCAGUUAGAGUCAAAGAGCAACGGAUGAGCAAUUUGAUGCAGUCCAUUCUUGUGGGUGCUUGUGUCGGUGUCAUGCCUGUUAUAAAAAGGAUUCCUACAUCAGUGCUGUGGGGCUACUUUGCUUACAUGGCAAUAGAGAGUUUACCUGGUAAUCAGUUUUGGGAGAGGUUCCUUAUAUUAUUCAUUGCACCAUCACGAAGAUAUAAAGUGCUUGAGGAUGUGCAUGCAUCAUUUCUUGAAACAGUACCAUUCAAGACUAUUGCUAAAUUUACAUUGUUGCAGUUUAUUUACUUACUGGUAUGCUUUGGUAUUACAUGGAUACCAAUAGCAGGGAUACUUUUCCCUCUUCCUUUUUUUUUGCUUAUAUCAAUCAGACAGUACAUUCUUCCGAAGCUAUUUGAGCUUCAGCACCUAAGUGAAUUAGAUGCAGCUGAAUAUGAGGAGAGUGAAGCCCUUACUCAUCGCCAGAGUUUCAAUUUGAGUGAGCGUCAUCCUGAUGGUACAGAUAUAUUGGAAGGCAUCAAUGGGGAUGUCGAUGAUGCUGAAAUUUUGGAUGAAAUAACUACCAGGAGCCGUUGUGAAUUGAAACACCGGCCUGUUCACACUGAGGAUUAGAAUCAAAUGAAAUUGGGAGGUAUUUGAAAUUCUCAUGCAAUUUGGGCCACAGCCCAAGGGUCUCGUGAGAGAUAUUGAUCUCUAUAUACAAUUCACACUGCAUCUGUAUCAUUUUUUAUUGGAAUGUGUCUAAUACACAUGUUAGAAACAUGUUCCUUAAAGAGGCCUUUCUGUCUUGAACCAUGGGAAAUCAAAAUUCAUGGUUAUCUUUCAAGAUAUCAUUGAGUAUUGCUUCCUCAAAGUCUUUACAAUGGGAAAAGCCUCUCCAGUGAAGCCUUUAUUAGAGGAGGAGCUUCAAUGUUGUUAUGUACUAAUUACAAGUAAGAACCAUGUAAAACAGUAAGCUUGGUCCCUAAUCAAUCUGAUGGAUGCUAAGUCUCUGAACAUUUGUUAUUUAUUCUUAUUUUCUACGAAAGCUAACUUGACUGUAAUAUUAUAAACUAUGUAGGAGCCAUGCCAUAAACAUGAAUUUAUCAUUACAUGCAAUAUAGUGGGUCAUGCCCGCAAUUCUUGCUUGAAAAAUCAGAAACAACACUAUGUUUGGAAAAAGGAGGAUCAAAUGCUGGUUCAUAAGGAGGGGCCCAUUCUUGCCUUUCAGGAGGUUCAAAAAACUGACUUUAUUAAAGACCCCUCUCAAAAUUGCCGCUUACCUAAUCAAAACAUGAAUUUAUCAUUCAAAAUUCAUUCAAAAUUUCUGUACAUUCUCUUUGUGUUGCAAAGAGCCAGAUAAAUAUUGUAAGCUUUUGCUGAAGAAACACAAAGUUAUCUUAUUUUCAAGCCGUUUGAAAGUUGUUCAAUACAAACUGUCUUCAAUAACACAAAAUGACUGGCAAUGGUCACAUGUACAUCAGGCUAUACUAUUAUUGUGUGUCCAUUGGUACAAUAAAGUUGGUUCUAUCUGAUGCUUGCUAGUUGUGCGAGUGCAACCAACGAUGCAAAAUUCUUAGCAAUUAUGAUUGCAGAUAUUGUAAGGCUUUUCUGAAGAACCAUGUAGUUAUCUUAUUUUUAAGGCCAUCAGAAUGGCUGGCAAUGAUCACAUGUACAUCAGUCUGUACUACUAUAGUAUGUCCACUGGUACAAUAAAGUUAGGUUUAUCUAAUGGUUGCCAAUUGUGCAACUACCAACAAUUCCAAAUUUUCAGCAAUUAAAAUUGCAGAUAAA